AUGAACGCUGGCGGCGUGCCUAAUACAUGCAAGUCGAACGCUUCACUUCGGUGAAGAGUGGCGAACGGGUGAGUAAUACAUAAGUAACCUGGCAUCUACAGGGGGAUAACUGAUGGAAACGUCAGCUAAGACCGCAUAGGUGUAGAGAUCGCAUGAACUCUAUAUGAAAAGUGCUACGGGACUGGUAGAUGAUGGACUUAUGGCGCAUUAGCUUGUUGGUAGGGUAACGGCCUACCAAGGCGACGAUGCGUAGCCGACCUGAGAGGGUGACCGGCCACACUGGGACUGAGACACGGCCCAGACUCCUACGGGAGGCAACAGUAGGGAAUUUUCGGCAAUGGGGGAAACCCUGACCGAGCAACGCCGCGUGAAGGAAGAAGUAAUUCGUUAUGUAAACUUCUGUCAUAGAGGAAGAACGGUGGAUAUAGGGAAUGAUAUCCAAGUGACGGUACUCUAUAAGAAAGCCACGGCUAACUACGUGCCAGCAGCCGCGGUAAUACGUAGGUGGCGAGCGUUAUCCGGAAUUAUUGGGCGUAAAGAGGGAGCAGGCGGCACUAAGGGUCUGUGGUGAAAGAUCGAAGCUUAACUUCGGUAAGCCAUGGAAACCGUAGAGCUAGAGUGUGUGAGAGGAUCGUGGAAUUCCAUGUGUAGCGGUGAAAUGCGUAGAUAUAUGGAGGAACACCAGUGGCGAAGGCGACGAUCUGGCGCAUAACUGACGCUCAGUCCCGAAAGCGUGGGGAGCAAAUAGGAUUAGAUACCCUAGUAGUCCACGCCGUAAACGAUGAGUACUAAGUGUUGGGGGUCAAACCUCAGUGCUGCAGUUAACGCAAUAAGUACUCCGCCUGAGUAGUACGUUCGCAAGGAUGAAACUCAAAGGAAUUGACGGGGGCCCGCACAAGCGGUGGAGCAUGUGGUUUAAUUCGAAGCAACGCGAAGAACCUUACCAAGUUUUGACAUCCUUCUGACCGGUACUUAACCGUACCUUCUCUUCGGAGCAGGAGUGACAGGUGGUGCAUGGUUGUCGUCAGCUCGUGUCGUGAGAUGUUGGGUUAAGUCCCGCAACGAGCGCAACCCCUGUUGCCAGUUGCCAGCAUUAAGUUGGGGACUCUGGCGAGACUGCCGGUGACAAGCCGGAGGAAGGCGGGGAUGACGUCAAAUCAUCAUGCCCCUUAUGACCUGGGCUACACACGUGCUACAAUGGACAGAGCAGAGGGAAGCGAAGCCGCGAGGUGGAGCGAAACCCAUAAAACUGUUCUCAGUUCGGACUGCAGUCUGCAACUCGACUGCACGAAGAUGGAAUCGCUAGUAAUCGCGAAUCAGCAUGUCGCGGUGAAUACGUUCUCGGGCCUUGUACACACCGCCCGUCACACCAUGAGAGUCGGUAACACCCGAAGCCGGUGGCCUAACCGCAAGGAAGGAGCUGUCUAAGGUGGGACUGAUGAUUGGGGUG
rnacentral:rRNA from 1 species